GACGAACGCUGGCGGCGUGCUUAACACAUGCAAGUCGAACGGAGAGGCCUUGAUUUUACGGGGCGCGCGGGUGGCGAACGGGUGUGUAACACGUGAGUAACCUGCCCCGUACUUUGGGUUAACUUCAGGUAACUGGGGCUAAUACCGGAUAGGAGCUCUUGCUACUUGGUGGGGGAUGGAACGUUUCGUCGGGUGGGGAUGGACUCGGGGCUUAUCAGAUUUGUGGUGGGGUAGUGGCUUACCAAGGCUUUGACGGGACGCCGGCCUGAGAGGGUGGCCGGACACAUUAGGAUUGAGAUACGGCCCAGACCCAUACGCGAGGCAGCAGUGGGGAAUAGAGCAUAAUGGGCGGAAGCCUGAUGUAGCACCGCGGCGUGCGGGAUAACGGGCUUCGGGUUGUGAAGCGCUUUCGCCUGUGACGAGGAGUGAGUGACGGUAAUGGAUAAAGAAGCACCGGCUAACUACGUG
rnacentral:rRNA from 1 species